AGUGAACGCUGGCGGUAGGCCUAACACAUGCAAGUCGAACGGCAGCACAGUAAGAGCUUGCUCUUACGGGUGGCGAGUGGCGGACGGGUGAGGAAUACAUCGGAAUCUACUUUUUCGUGGGGGAUAACGUAGGGAAACUUACGCUAAUACCGCAUACGACCUACGGGUGAAAGCAGGGGAUCUUCGGACCUUGCGCGAUUGAAUGCGCCGAUGUCGGAUUAGCUAGUUGGCGGGGUAAAGGCCCACCAAGGCGACGAUCCGUAGCUGGACUGAGAGGAUGAUCAGCCACACUGGAACUGAGACACGGUCCAGACUCCUACGGGAGGCAGCAGUGGGGAAUAUUGGACAAUGGGCGCAAGCCUGAUCCAGCCAUACCGCGUGGGUGAAGAAGGCCUUCGGGUUGUAAAGCCCUUUUGUUGGGAAAGAAAAGCAGCAGGUUAAUACCCCGCUGUUCUGACGGUACCCAAAGAAUAAGCACCGGCUAACUUCGUG
rnacentral:rRNA from 1 species